rnacentral:rRNA from 1 species
GACGAACGCUGGCGGCGUGCUUAACACAUGCAAGUCGAACGGAAAGGCCCUGCUUUUGUGGGGUGCUCGAGUGGCGAACGGGUGAGUAACACGUGAGUAACCUGCCCUUGACUUUGGGAUAACUUCAGGAAACUGGGGCUAAUACCGGAUAGGAGCUCCUGCUGCAUGGUGGGGGUUGGAAAGUUUCGGCGGUUGGGGAUGGACUCGCGGCUUAUCAGCUUGUUGGUGGGGUAGUGGCUUACCAAGGCUUUGACGGGUAGCCGGCCUGAGAGGGUGACCGGCCACAUUGGGACUGAGAUGCGGCCCAGACUCCUACGGGAGGCAGCAGUGGGGAAUAUUGCACAAUGGGCGGAAGCCUGAUGCAGCAACGCCGCGUGCGGGAUGACGGCCUUCGGGUUGUAAACCGCUUUCGCCUGUGACGAAGCGUGAGUGACGGUAAGGGGUAAAGAAGCACCGGCUAACUACGUGC